ensembl:lncRNA
ACAGAAUGUUUGUUGUGAUACAACUUGAAACAUAAAGGGCAGUGAUCUCAUAUUUUAGCACAGGAGGCAAAAGCCCUUCGAGAUUCAUCCAGGCUUGUGGCAUUUAGUUUAACCUGGUGUAACCUGAUGCAGUUUUGAAGCAGGUAAACUGUGCGCGUGUUUUAAUUACAUCUGGGCUAUGUAACCAGUCCAAAGUUCAGGUCAAUAGAGUGAUGAAUUCUCUAGCCACACAAUCUUUAAUACCGGCUGGACUGGUUAUUAAUUUUAUUUAUUUGUACUGUUAAAGACCUAUAUAAUUUGUAGCUUUGAUCGUUUGCUUUUUAAAAGCUUGACAAUGUUCACACACUUUUAAUCAAUCCAUUUUCUUGGGGUAACAAACUUAUUGCAUGUUGUUUUCGUUAUAUGUACUGUGUGCAAUUGUUUACAAAUCUCUUAUUUAUUCUGUUUCUAACAGGGUAUUGGGCUUCCUAUUUCUGUUGUAGCAGAUUGCAUUAGCUGUAUGAUAUAGAAAUACUAAAGGGCAGAAGAAGACCAUAUGCUCUAUCAUAGGCUGCUUUUUAAUCCCUGAAAUACCAAAUCAUCAGCUUAAUCCUUCCAGUCUACUCGAGAGUUGUCUGUUAUAACCCUGGAACUGGAACAGGGGACAGAAGAAGGCAUACAGCCAGAACUUCUGCUAAUGUAAAUCAGUGCAUUUCCACUGACUUUAGCGAUAACAUCUUUAACACCAGCUGAUGUUAUGUACCAGAUUGUUCGAUUCAGUGGUGUCAAAAGGAAAGGUAGGACUUCUCCGUGUCUGUUUUCCAGGUCAGACAUGGAUAGCACAUUAUUCAGAGUAAACCAAACCAUCUGAACUCUUCUGAACACUGCUAGAUGUAUAAUGCUGUAAUAAGGCUAUAAAAACUUAAUAUGCUUUGCUUUGGAAAACGCCUCUAACAUCAUGUCUGAACUCUUUCAAGUGGCGUGCAUCCUCCAUAUUGUAUGAAGAUGGUAAAAAUGGCUAUACUCUAUAUUUUGAUUAGUACGCAUUUAAGAAACUUGCUUUGAGAUGAUUUUGAGCUGCUACUGGUUAGUUUUUCAGGAGGCUUUUCAACUGUUCCUUUGAGUGUUGCCACUCAGCUGGCAAAUGCUCCAGAAAGCAUGGCUGGACAUUUUAAUUCUGUUGCCAGAAAUGACGUCCUUCUAUGACAAUUCCAGAUGCAGUCAAUGUCCUGUUGCCAUUCCCUUGGCAAUUUACCCAGGAAAUUCAUAGCUAGUCCUCUUAGGGGAGUCGCUUUCUCUUAAGUUUUCAAUGAUCAUUGCAGAUACUUAGUUGUGUUUCUGCAAUAUAUGGUAACGCUCUCAAGAGUUACCCUACUGCACAUGAUAGCAUUUUGAACCUGCUUAGACAGAUUCUGCAGGGAGGCUGUGUCUAAGAACAUUUCAAAAGAAUCAGUAUCAUUCUGUGGAGACAUUCCAAGUCCAGCUUUUCAAAGUGAACUUACUUCUUAUUCAGGGGUCACUGACUGCAUUCAAGUCAUCCUGGUGCAGUACACUGCUACUGUAUGUGAGUCUCCUCUGAACAGGUUUCCAGUUUCCAUUAGCAGUGCAGCCCUGGGUUACAUGGAGGAUUAAUUCCAAAAGAUAAAUUUGUGUGUAGAACAAGCAGCUCUUCUGAAAGAAAGAAAUCCAGGAAGAAUUGUCCAUCUGAGAACAGGUAGCCUAGUCUAACCAUGGCAACAAACACAACUCUAUACAGUCUGUGAAAAUGUAUUUUAAAAUGUUUUGUGAAAGUGUUAAUAAAAAUUAUUUAAGCUUUUGUAUGAAGCACUGUGUUGGUGUGCCCUCUUAGAAACAGCUAGGAAACAGAAAACCUGCCUUUUUAACUGAUUUUGUAAAUACUUUCAGCCUCCAAACUGCAUGUUAUUUUAUUGAUAUACUCUUACUCCAGAAGUCAGAUUUCAUCGUAGCAAUCCUUUCUGAACCCUGAGAAAAAAAAAAAAAAUUGAAACAAGAAGAUGGGUGCAUAAUACAUGGCUCCUCUGAGGCAGACAUUGCUACAGUUAUUCACAAGUUUCUGCAAAACAAUAUUUAGUAUUCUCUAUACUGGAAAAGAAAAAGACGAAAUCUGAAACAUCUCUCUACCCACUUCUGUGCACCAAGAACAUUCCAGCUGUGAUGCAUGGCACUUCAAAAGUGGGGAAAAUGUUACAUUGGUAACAACAUUAACAGCGAGAAAAUCCUAAAAGCUGCUGAAAUUUAUGUUGAUCAGAUUAAUACUCCUAUCAAUGUAGUGCACUAACCAAAAAUUCUGAUAGAACAGUGAUAGUGGAGACUUAGGAUGAAAGAAAGAGAAGACAUAUUGCAUUGCAAUAGUAGGCAGGAGAAAAAAAUCCUAAUGAUUUCAUAUAUAUAUAUAUAUAUUUUGUCUUUAGGUAAGUUUCCCAUGAAAGGACUAUUUUCUUAACAAAUUUGCUUUUCAGAAUAAUGCUCUGAACCUCUGUAUUCAUUUCAGCCAAUGAAUUUCUUGUGAACUAUUUGCUGGAUAUGCUGGAUAUUUGUGAGUCGAUAUUUGCACAGAUUAUUUGAUCCCCGAAAUCAUAUGGUAUUAUAUUAGUGGCUUUAUGCAAGACCUCAAUGAAACAACAUAAAUGAGAAACCAUUCCCUAAAAACACUUGUAGGCAGAAAAAAAAAAAAAAAAAAAAA